AGGAUGAACGCUGGCGGCGUGCCUAACACAUGCAAGUCGAACGUCCUUCUUCUUCGGAAGAAGGGAGUGGCGGACGGGUGAGUACCACGUGGGUUAUCUACCGUGAGGUGAGGAAUACCGGCGAGAAAUCGCCGACAAGACCGCAUAGGCUCGAUGCAAGUCGAGCAAAGCUCGCUCGCAAGAGGGAGCGCCACACGAGGAGCCUGCGCCCGAUUAGCUGGCUGGUGGAGUAAUGGUUCACCAGGGCGACGAUCGGUAGCUGGUCUGAGAGGACGAUCAGCCACACUGGGAUUGAGAACGGCCCAGACUCCUACGGGGGGCAGCAGUGAGGAAUUUUCGUCAAUGGGGGCAACCCUGAACGAGCAACGCCGCGUGCAGGAAGAAGGUUUUCGGAUCGUAAACUGCUUUUCGUCGGGGAAGAGAACGGACGGUACCCGAGGAAUCGAGCCCCGGCUAACUACGCGCCAGCAGCCGCGGUAA
rnacentral:rRNA from 1 species